rnacentral:rRNA from 1 species
CAGUCGCCGCGGUAAUACGUAGGGGGCUAGCGUUGCUCGGAAUCACUGGGCGUAAAGGGUGCGUAGGCGGGUCUUUAAGUCAGGGGUGAAAUCCUGGAGCUCAACUCCAGAACUGCCUUUGAUACUGAAGAUCUUGAGUUCGGGAGAGGUGAGUGGAACUGCGAGUGUAGAGGUGAAAUUCGUAGAUAUUCGCAAGAACACCAGUGGCGAAGGCGACUCUCUGGUCUGUAACUGACGCUGAGGCGCGAAAGCGUGGGGAGCAAACAGGAUUAGAUACCCCUGUAGUCCCUGUCUCUUAUAC